rnacentral:rRNA from 1 species
UGAGUUUGAUCCUGGCUCAGGACGAACGCUGGCGGCGUGCUUAACACAUGCAAGUCGAACGGAAAGGCCCUUCGGGGUACUCGAGUGGCGAACGGGUGAGUAACACGUGGGUGAUCUGCCCUGCACUUUGGGAUAAGCCUGGGAAACUGGGUCUAAUACCGAAUAUGAUCAUGCUCUUCAUGGGGUGUGGUGGAAAGCUUUUGCGGUGUGGGAUGGGCCCGCGGCCUAUCAGCUUGUUGGUGGGGUAAUGGCCUACCAAGGCGACGACGGGUAGCCGGCCUGAGAGGGUGACCGGCCACACUGGGACUGAGAUACGGCCCAGACUCCUACGGGAGGCAGCAGUGGGGAAUAUUGCACAAUGGGCGCAAGCCUGAUGCAGCGACGCCGCGUGAGGGAUGACGGCCUUCGGGUUGUAAACCUCUUUCAGCACAGACGAAGCGCAAGUGACGGUAUGUGCAGAAGAAGGACCGGCCAACUACGU